AUUGAACGCUGGCGGCAGGCCUAACACAUGCAAGUCGAGCGGAUGAAGGGAGCUUGCUCCUGGAUUCAGCGGCGGACGGGUGAGUAAUGCCUAGGAAUCUGCCUGGUAGUGGGGGAUAACGUCCGGAAACGGGCGCUAAUACCGCAUACGUCCUGAGGGAGAAAGUGGGGGAUCUUCGGACCUCACGCUAUCAGAUGAGCCUAGGUCGGAUUAGCUAGUUGGUGGGGUAAAGGCCUACCAAGGCGACGAUCCGUAACUGGUCUGAGAGGAUGAUCAGUCACACUGGAACUGAGACACGGUCCAGACGCCUACGGGAGGCAGCAGUGGGGAAUAUUGGACAAUGGGCGAAAGCCUGAUCCAGCCAUGCCGAGUGUGUGAAGAAGGUCUUCGGAUUGUAAAGCACUUUAAGUUGGGAGGAAGGGCAGUAAGUUAAUACCUUGCUGUUUUGACGUUACCAACAGAAUAAGCACCGGCUAACUUCGUG
rnacentral:rRNA from 1 species